GACAUCUAAAGUUGGCAGGCCUGGAUUUAGAAAGCAGUGGGAUAAAAGAACAUGCUUCAGGGAGAAAAAUGCCAAGAAAAGAAGUUUAUUAGGUAUUUUAACGCAGCACGUAAGAAACGCAAUUGAUACAUAGGCGCAAGGCUCGCAAAGGAAACCACAAAGACUAGAAAAAUAGGGCCUGCCCUUUUGUACCUAUGUUUGACCAGCACCAUCACCGCCGUGCAGACGCUUUGUGCCACUCCUGGGCCCUGUGGACACCAGCUCAGCAUGAGUGGAGAGUGGGGGCAAAAUCACAGGGUGGCAAGUGGAGUGGAGCUUCCCACAUCACUUCUGCUAACAUGUCAACAGUCCCAAGCACUACCUGAACCAUGGAGAAGUCGGCAAGUGAAGCCUAGCCAUAUGGCCGGUGGGAAGAGGGUAUGGGAUAGUUGAGUCUCUGCUGUCUGCUCCCUCAGCUGAGCCUGAGACAGACUUUGUGUUAUACUUCUCUGACUCCCCACCCCCACCCCAGAGGCUAUAAAGGUCUCCAACACGGGUAGUUGAAUAACAUCUGCCUUUAGUCCCGAUCCUGUCUCCAGACGAGCGGAUACAUGAAUAUUA